rnacentral:ncRNA from 2 species
UAAUAUCGGAUAGCGCCAGGCCUGAAAAGGUGACGAGGAUUGAACUUAUCGAAAGAUUCGGCGGAUGGUUCAAGGCAGUGUAGUCUACAGUGUUUCUACAAAGAAUAACCGAAAGGUUCUCACAAAAAGAAACACAACACCUAAA